rnacentral:lncRNA from 1 species
UGAUGUUUGUGAUUCAGGAGAAUUGACCCUUUAAAGGACAACGUCAUCACUUUCAGAUAUGUCUUAAAAGAAUAGUGAGGUCCCCCUAUGAGCACCGAAACAUGUUUUAACCAUCAAGGAUGCUUCCUUAACUACAGCUACAGUCCUUCAUCUCUGCAAAACAGUAUUAAAGUGUUGAAUAUACAUUUAACAGGAAUAAUUAACCUUUAGUAUGAUGUUUUAUUAUGCUAUGCACUAAUGUUAUAAUACUUACAUCGAAAGAGCUUGUGUGCAUGUGGUUUGUUGUUUUAUACAAUUAUGUUUUUUUUUAUAUGUCCCCUUAUAUCUGAUAAUGCACCGCAGCAGUAGCCGAGGAAAAACUUUCCCAUGGGUACAAUAUGAUUAAUUUAAUAACCUUUAUGAAUCCUCAUAUUAGCUUUAGAGACACACUUGAAUGCAUUUUUUCAGAGAACAAGGACUGUGUAUGCUGGGCCCCAUCGUCAUCACAGUGAAAGCGCUGUCCAGUUGUCUAAUAUGAACAGCAGGAAUAGUUACAGCAUGUAAGACAUCUUUAGUGUUCAUAAUGACACCUGUUUAGUGUUUCAUAACAAACUGUGAAACCUAUUCUUUAAAACCUAUCCUUUAAUGUACUUAAGGUUUCUUAUACAGUAUUAGUAUAUGCACAUGCGUGUGUUUGUUUUUAGAAACGAGGUAAUCAUUGCUGUGUCCUCUCUCUCUUUCUCGCACUCUCUCUCUCCCCACCUCUCUCUCUCUUUCAGCUCUCCCUCUCUGCUGUGGCCUCUGUAUACUCAAACGGCAGCAGUGAGAUCGGUGACAUUAGUGCCUACUACAGUCUCAGACUCAGGGUUGUGCUCCAGGCACUGGUUCCUGCCACCUGCUGACAGAUAGAGCGUGAACAUCCAGGUUCUGUUGAUACAGCAUGGGAAACUGCACAUCAGGGAUAAAGAAGAAAAAGAAAGGGGAUUCUGCAGUAGAUGAUAAAAAGCAGCCUACCGAGGACGUAAUGUAUGCCUCAAUUGACCAUACUUCGAAAGGAGCAAGACCAUCCAGAGAGACCAAUGAUGAUGAUUGUGACUAUGCCAUAGUUAAUGUCCCAGCAGCACUUGAAUCUGAGUGCUCAUCUAAAGACGAAUGUACAGAUGACUAUGUACUAAUGGGAUAAAAAUAAGCAAGAUCAACUGUGAGGUUCAAGACUGAAAAUAUCAUUUACACAAGAGAUGUGUCCAAUAUUCUGUUGUGGCGUGCAAGAUCGUUUACAGUUGAACUGUAGAGUUUCCAGUAGUACUCUUGUCAAAUCUUGAUCUUCAAUCAAGAAACUGUAACAAAAUGAAAAAAAAAGAAAAAUUCACAGACCCCAGCAGCUGGUUGUGGAAACACCAAGCGUCUCUCCACUUCUGAGGGUACAUCAGGCCUGCACACGACUGUGGUGUUCCUUUCUCAAGAACACAAACUUGCGUCACAUCUUCCCUCUUUACAGACGAAAUUCAACCUUACAAUGUUGAAGCUUUGUACUCUGACGUGGCCGAAGUCCUAACAUCAUCGACAUUACCAAAGUUUUCAAGUAAUAAAUCAAAGGAAAUUGAACCUAGUGUUUGGGUUUGAAGACUCGAGGAGGCAAAAAGUUCUGAACAUCUGCAAGAACAGCAAAUUCACUAGUUUCUGACACACUACUGCUACUGUAGUUACACAAUUCCCUGAAUGACUGAAAUCCAAAUGCCACUGUGUUUUAAAAUGGCUAUUCAACAAUAGUUCAAUAGUUAAUGUAGCCAUUGUGUCUAUGUGUGUAUGUGUGUGCUGGUCACGGUCGCUGCACACUACUGAAAUAUACAACACAAUAUGAGAUGUUUCAGGGUGAACUAUUCACAACACAUAUAUUGUUUUUGUGUUGUGCUUGCCAUCAUGAUGUCAACAUAUUGCCAGGAAGUAGUAAUUUAAAGAAACUGCAACUGUUGACUGGGCUCAAAGCUGUUGUGAUAUUAAUACAAAGAAUUUAGUCAGUUCCAUAAUCUCCAAAUCUGGUAGUUUCUUUUGAAAAACUAUUGCUACAGUAGUUACAUAUGCCGGAUGACUGACAUCUUAAAGUCACAAUCUGUUACAGGACGUGUCAUAAUUAUUCUAAUAUGCUGUAGAAAACACAUCUAUUAAAAGUGGUGCAUCGGAUGUGAUGCUUUAUUUUUAGCUAUGUAUGUCUUAUAUAAAUAUUUUUUCCAUCAUUAGAGGAAAAGGACAACAGCUCUGUAGCCCUGUAAACUGAAAGUGCAAAGUAGAGGGACUUUCUAGUCAGACUAGCUAAUGCAAGUUCAUCUGCUGUCACGCUCUGGUGUGAUGAAAGUUUGAUCUUUAUCUUAUCUAUGUUUGUUAGAACAGAACCCAAGCUCUCUUCCACCCUAAAAAAAAGUUUCAGUUACACACAUUAACUCUAUGUUAACCUGUAUUAAUGAGCUUUUACUAAUAUUUAAAUACAAAAACAAAAAAUAUUGCUAUAUAGUUGUUCCCAUAAAGAAAUUGCAAAAUUGUGUGUGCAAUUUGUGCCAUGCUAUGAAGUUCAUGAUGAAAGAAUGUAUGACAUGAAUCCAAAACACAUAUUCUCUGCUCACUUUUACCACAGAAUAUAGUCAGGACCUAAGGAGAAAUAGCUACUGUUCACCAAUUAAACAUACUACAAAUACACAUUUAGGGCUUGAAAUGUAAUAGUUUAUGUUUUGUUUGUGCAGGAAAUGUGUAUAUUUUUGUCUGAGCAUGUAUCCAACUACCAUAGAUUAUUUAUCUGUUUGUGUGUGUAUAAAAUAGUAGUGUAGUGCAAUGAAUUGCAUUUGUUUCACUGUGGUUUUAUUCAUUCUUUUAUUGAUUAAACGUUUACUCAGUUUCAUUCGUUAUUCUUUCACGUUAAUCAGUUUCCACUGCGAGAAAUACUUGAAAGAAGUCAUGCAGCACUCUCCUGGACUUAACUAAGUAAAAUAUCAGUGUUGAAAUCAUGUUAAUGUGUUUAAGAGGAACAGGUAGCAACAGCAAGUAGAGUCCACAGAACAUGAGUGUGUUAAACAGAAAUUCUAAAAACUAUUCUAGACAACAAAUAUAAUCUAUUUGAAGUUAAGCCAGGUAGCAGGAAACAGUCAACACAUCUCCUCCCAUAAAUAAAAUAUUCAUCACAUCCAAAUAACAUGCACACGCGAAUGUGCAUUUACAGUAUUUCUUUCUUCACUUCCUGUUCAUAUUUGAGAUUAAGAAACGUCUUGCAAACAUGUUUCCAGUGUUAAAGAUGAAGGUGGAAAUCUAGGAUUUUAACACUUUCCAGUGUUACUGAAACAAAACUCCAUAAAAGUCUAUCUUAUCUUAUUUUAUCUACAUCACUUUGUAUAUUGGAAUGAGGAAUGAAUUCUGAUUUCCACCAGCAGAUGGCAGAACAGUCACUUUUCCAGUAUCUAUUUCCUAUCCUCCUCGAUCUUCUUCUCAGGAAACCUGUUUGCACUCAUUGUGAGAGCUGUGAGCCAAAUUUAGAAAUGUUCCUUUUGUGUGGACGUCCUUAUGCUGACAAUCAGUGAGAGGAGGUGGAUGUAUAACAACGUAUCUGUUACCUCUUGGCUGAAUGUCUAUAACAGAUGUGAAAGUCAUCUUGACAUGUUUUUACCCACAGUAUAAUAUAAAGAAGUGACUGGUCACACUUUGUGUCACAAUGUCGUCGUUUUGAACAAAUUAUCAGCACUGAAAAUUUGAAGUUUAACAGGUACUAGUUUUAUUCCCUAACUUUAGUGUUUUUAUUUAUUCUGUAGAGCAGUGCUAAAAUUACUGUCUUUAGAUGU